AUUUAUUUUCCAAACCUUAAACACUUUAAAAGAAUGUAAUCAUUCUCUUUCUCUCUCCUGGGAAAUGCAUUUUCUCUCUUACCAAAAGGAAAAAACACAGCCAUGUUUUUGCAGAUCACUGAAUCUGCAAAACGGAAAGUGCAAUUUAAUGAUCAGUUCAAAAAUUUGUUGUUGUGCUAUAUGCGUACGGCGACCUGCAGCAUUUUGAUUUGCGUCUUGAAAUUGGAGUCCACCUUUUUGCGUGGAAACCAGUUGAUAGGAGAAAACUCUUACGAUGAGUGAGCUUCUUAAUUUACGACGUAAAUUUGUUGAGAGGAUUCGAUGUUGAUUGGCCAAUUUGCAGAUUUAUACUGCAUUAUUCAAGAGAAGAAAUAGAAUGUCCACCGCCUUUCGCUCAUUGAUGUCGAUGGCUUCAAGAUGAGUUCACAAAUGUAGGGUUGCAGAUUCGAGAGGAACAUAUUCAAGUUCUGCUCCGACAGAUGCAGGUGAGUGAUUUCAAUUCUUAAUUCACUGCUUUCAUCAUAGAAAUUUACAACUACGAGGCUUUGGGAUUAAUUUCUCCAUUUCUUUUCAUUCUGCUGCAUGAUUACUACUUAUUGAUUGAAUAAUGGAAAUAUUUUGUCGUAGUUGUCCACUAAACAUGGUAGAAAUUCCAGAGAAAAUUAGAAAUUCCAAGGUCUAAUAUCUGAAACUGACGUUAAAUUUCAAUUAUUUUGGCUGUUCCAUGCCGUUCUUGUUGUGAGAUUGGAAACUGACAACUUGAAAGAUAGUUAGAAAUGAAUUUUGAAUUCCAAAUGGUUAACUUUGCUACUGAGGAGAUAUUGACUUACCGACAGAAAUUGAUUUAUCAAAAAUUCUAAUGAGUCUCAGUUUUUGUUCUGGCUGAGAUUGUCUUUCCAAUUCUGCAUUGCUACCUCAGAACAUUAAAAUUGAUGUUUUUAUGCUGGAAACUGAUACUUGUUUGUGAAACUUAGCACCUCAGUGCAAUGGAAAAGUGUAAUUGAAAUGAAGAAAUUCUAUCCUAAAACCCCACCUACCUAUCCGACUCUCGUGAAGCAAUCUCUAACACUAGGCACUAUUUUAAUACUAAUAAGAAUAUUUUAUUCAUAUUCUUCCCCCACCUUAAUAUUAUAUUAUUUGUUUUACCCUAAUCUUAUUUAUUCAUUCACUCAAAAAUUUCAUAUCAUUUUAUAUAUCUACCUCAUAUAUUUAUAUAUAACCUUAUUACUCUCAUAAAUGCUCUAUUAAUGCAUUAGAAAGUGCAAAAUGAAUAUCUUUAUUCUUAAUUUUUUUUGUGUCAAACCAAAAAUUGUUCAAAUAGGGUAGUUUCAUCGACAACCAUUUCAAUAGUUGGAGCUGAAAAUUCUCUAUCGUCUUUAAAAUGCAUUCAGAUCACGUUCAUGCUCGAUUAUCAUAUGCUAAUACAUCUUUAUUCUUAAUUUUUUUUGUGUCAAGCCAAAAAUUGUUCAAAUAGAGUAGUUUUAUCGACAACUAGUGCAAUAGUUGGAGCUGAAAAUUCCCUAUUGUCUUCAAAAUGUAUUCAGAUCACAUUCAUCCUCGAUUAUGAUAUGCUAAUACAUGUAGUUAAUAUAUCAUACAAUACUUCUUUUUUCUAAAAACAUGAUGGCCCUGCAACUAUUGCAAAACGUGACCGCAACACUCUAAAAGCACGUUCAACAUCUUUUUGACAUGAUUUUUUUUUCAUUGCAAAAUACCUCUUUUUCUUUAUUUGUAGUUCACGAAUAGUUUACAUAAUAAGCAGAGGAGUAAUACAAAGCAAGAUUGGAAAAUAAAUGCAAUGACUCCAAAAACAUUAAUAUCAUUAUUAGAGCUAAACAUUCUAAAAUAUGCGUCCAUAUCCAAAGGUCAUAAUCAGUGACAGCUUCUAAAAUGAUUGUUGGUGAUCCACUACAACCAGUAUAUUGGUCAGCCUAUGCAGUAGGACAAUUUUUCCAUUUCCAAUGCAUGCAAUAACUACCUAAUAUUCCUGGAAAGUCACGUUGCUCACCAAUAUAGAAGAAGUCUCGCCACAUCAUGUGCAUGUAUCAUAUUUGAAAACAUAAAGAGCCCUCAUCAAAUGUUCCAGUAUGGUCAACAUAACAUGUCUCAAGUUCAGUUCAAACAUAAAAUGAAACUCAGAAUUAUGGGGGUAUUCAAUACUCUGCAAUAAAAGAGGAAUUGGUCUAUGGUCGAUGCAGUAGCAAAUAAAUAGGAAUUUCUGGUUGUACCUUGUGAAACCCGACUUAUUUCUUUUAUUUUGUGGAAUUAAUCAUUCCCUUUAUUUUUAUUUUAGAAUUUUAGAAAUAG